AGGACCCCUGCGAUACGGGUUUGACAGAUAAUCCAGUUCAUAACACAUCGAAAUCGGGCGCUAAGAGCUCCAAUUUAGCAUUUCUUUAAAUUCAAUAGGCCUAACGAAGACUCCUAGCACUCCCUCUAGCGUCAGUAUUACGCGUAUUCCUUCAUUGCUACCUCAAGAGCUUUGGAAGAUGACUGGAUGCAUGAUAAUGGGGUUCAGACUCGGCGGGAAUAUAACGAAGGACAUGCCCAUGAAUUUCUGCAGGUUGGGUGGACUCUCGGGAAACCGAUAGACAAGCACAAUGAUGAUGCCCGAGAACUCGUAGAUGAGAAAGACGAGCAGGUGAGCCUGAGGAGGGAGACGUUGUCGCAGUAGAUGCCCGCGAUGACCGUUUUGCAGAAGGGGAAACGCAGCGUCAGGCCGA